UUUUGGCGCGCAAAAAGAUCUGUGUUUGUUAUUGUUGUCGUCGAGGUGGUAUAAUGGUAUGUGCCGCGUGUAACUUUUGUAGUAACUCAGUAAUAGGCUUUGCAGUAUUGUGAUUUCUAAGAGACGAAAAGUGGAACGCAAAAUUCUUGGAGAGAAAAAAGGAAACGUAAUAUUCAUUCGCUUGCUGAAGCACAUUGCAAAUCCAGUACCACAACAGAGUGACUACAGGAUUGCACAACCAAAUGUUCUCUGCCACCAUCCUAUAUUUUCUGGGAUGGUUACUAGGGAUAGGCAACAGCCAGUACACAAGAUCAUUAUUUUCAUUUUACCAUCUGUGCCAAAGUAAUGUGUCUGGUAAUAUAUUAAUGUUAUGUCACUGUCUGUAGUAAUAUCAUAGAUACACUUAAAGAAAAUGAAAUGGUUUACAUUCCACUGUGAAAACCCACUGUCAUAAAAUAUUUAUUGACUUGGAUGACACUUGUAUCUCCUGUGUUGGAGUUACUGUUGCAAUGAAUGUAAUUUUUUAGUAUGACAUGUUGAAAACAACUGCAGUGAAAUAAAUUUGUUUAUUGCAAAA